ensembl:lincRNA
CGCGGCUACGCCAGCCUGCGCGCAGCCUCGCCCGCCCCGUCCAGCGCGCCCUCGCACGCGUCCUCGUCGCUCUCCUCGUCGUCCUCCUCCUCUGGCUCCUCGUCGUCCGACGAUGAGUUCGAAGACGACCUGCUCGACCUGAACCCCAGUUCAAACUUUGAGAGCAUGUCCCUGGGCAGUUUCAGCUCCUCAUCGGCGCUCGAUCGGGACCUGGAUUUUAACUUCGAACCCGGCUCAGGCUCCCACUUCGAGUUCCCGGACUAUUGCACACCCGAGCCAGAGAUGUGCAGGGAGCAGCAGGCCAGCCUCGGAAAUGAACAUGGGGACCUCGUGGAAGCCACAGCCGCCUGGUUGGGGACUCAGAAGGACCCGGAGCGCAGAGGGUGUUGGGGUCCCCGGGCCUCCGUCUGGGGUCUGUGCAAAAUAAAGAAUUAAAAAAAAAAAAAAAAAUUCAGAGGUGAGGCUACCCAGAGCCGGCGGGAGGAUAGGAGACUGUGGGAUGUGGUUCGGGGCCACGGAGUGGUUUUGGGGGGGAAAGAGAUUUUUUUCUUCUCUUAAUGGGAAUCGUGAUGGUGUUGAGUUAUUUCACUGGUGGGGUUAAUAUAGCAUGUUAUCCUGUCUAUCUUUUGAAGAUUUCUGUAUAAGACUGUUGAGCAGUUUUUAAAAUAGUGUAGGAUAAUAUAAGAAGCGGAUAGAUGGCGCUAUGUUUGAUUCCUACAACGAACCGAUCACCAGCUCCUUUUCAUUCUUAACUCUUUAAAAGGAUUCAAACGCAACUCAAAUCUGUGCUGGACUUUUGAAAAAACACAAUUCAGGACCAAAUUUUUUCUCCGUGUGUGUUUAUUCCUUAUAGGUGUAAUUGAGAAGACCCGUUUAUUUUUACCCCCUCACGGACGCUCCAUCUUUGUAUUUUUUUUUUCCUUGUAAAUGUAAUCAGAUGCCAUUUUAUAUGUGGACGUAUUUAUACUGGCCAAACAGUUUUCUUAUUUUGUCCCUUUUUUCCCCUUUCUUUUGCUUUCUUGUCUUUUGACCUCAUUUCUUUAUUUUUAUCUUCAUUUUAUUUUCUUUCUUUUUCUAGUGUUGUUACCCACGCCAUUUUAUGUCUCCUUCACUGAAGGGCUAGAGUUUUAACUUUUAAUUUUUUAUAUUUAAAUGUAGACUUUUGACACUUUUAAAAAACAAAAAAGACAAGAGAGAUGAAAACGUUUGAUUAUUUUCUCAGUGUAUUUUUGUAAAAAAUAUAUAAAGGGGGUGUUAAUCGGUGUAAAUCGCUGUUUGGAUUUCCUGAUUUUAUAAUAGGGUGGCUGGUUAAUAUCUCACACAGUUUGAAAAAUCAGCCCCUGGUUUCUCCAUGUUUACACUUCAAUCUGCAGGCUUCUUAAAGUGACAGUAUCCCUAACCUGCCACCAGUUUCCACCUUUAGACCCCCCCCCCCAGGCUGAUAAAAUGGGGAGGAGAGUUCAGCCCAGCACCAUAAUGCUUUAAGAAAAACAAAUUUUUAAACGAAUUGCUGUCCUGUCCAGAGGCUUUAAAACUGGGGCAUUCACAGCAAAAAGGGAUUCUGUAGCUUUAACUCGUAAACCACAUCUUUUUUGCACUUUUUUUAUAAGCAAAAACGUGCCGUUUAAACCACUGGAUCUAUCUAAAUGCCGAUUUGAGUUCGCGACACUAUGUACUGCGUUUUCAUUCUUGUAUUUGACUAUUUAAUCCUUUCUACUUGUCGCUAAAUAUAAUUGUUUUAGUCUUAUGGCAUGGUGAUAGCAUAUGUGUUCAGGUUUAUAGCUGUUGUGUUUAAAGAUUGAAAAAAAGUGGAAAACAUCUUUGUACAUUUAAGUCUGUAUUAUAAUAAGCAAAAAGAUUGUGUGUAUGUAUGUUUAAUAUAACAUGACAGGCACGAGGACGCCUGCCUUUUAAGAGGCAGUUCCGUUAAGGGUUUUUGUUUUAAAACUUUUUCUUUUUCUUUUUUUUUUUUUUUUUGCCAUCCAUCCUGUGCAAUAUGCCGUGUAGAAUAUUUGUCUUUAAAUUCAAGGCCACAAAAAAAAAGCAAUGUUUGGGGGAAGAGAAAAAAAAGGAAAAUUAAAAAAAAAAAUCAUGCCAGCUAAUUCUGUCCAUCACUGCCUGUCAGGUUGUUGCUAUAUACCUUCUGUAAAUAACUUUUUUUGAGAAGGAAAUAAAAUCAGCUGGAACUGAACCCUAAAUCUUGACUUUUGUCAUUCUUAUGCCUGAGAUUGUGCCCAGAGCCCUGCCUGUCACUGUAGGCUGCUGGUCUGUGGUGGUUUUGGAGCUAGUGACUUCUCUGGGAAGAGCCGGCUAUUGACAAAUACUAAGUUCCUCUUGGCCAGAUUUGGCAGGCCUGACCCCGAAUGAUGGCGUCAGCCACGUGUGUGUCAACCCUCUGCACGCCUUCCUUCGAGGAAUUCUCUACAACACAUCAGCAAGCACCCUUUGUCUGGAAAUUUCAAGGAGGGGGAGGGGCUGGCUUCUCAACUCACCCUGGCUGGCUGGGCUUUUUAAAUUUAUUUUUGCUUUGUGUUUCUGAAGCUGCCAUCUCCUUUACACACCAAGAUUUGUUUUCCAAAGACCAAGAACAAGUAAGUCUGUUAAAUUAUUAGGUCUUGGAGGAAAAAGCCUUUGCCAGUUACAGGAUGAAAAAAAAAAAUACUUAGGCUUGUUUUGUUAGCUUUUGGGGGUAGGGUUUCUCCCCUCAAAUGCAGAGGUUGGUAUGGUGUGGUGUUACAUGCCCAUAAUCCAAGGACUCAAGAGACUGGACAGGCCGAAGAAUCAUGAGUUCAAGGCCAGACCUGUUUCCAGAACAACAAGAGUUAAUACGGCCCUAAUCUUUCCAUUUUGGGCCACGCCCAGCAUGGGUGUCACUGUAAGUAAAAUAGGGCCUAUCUCCUUUCAGUUGGAAGAGGACCUCAAGUAG